GUUCUUUCAACAGUGGGUUCAUUACUGGCCUAAGGAACACUAUUGAUUUUUGUGUUAAACUGGAUCUGUCUCAAGAAUUCCAUGUCCAACCAGCAGAAUCUUAUUGUUCCCCAGGACUGAUUUUGGGACUCUUGGCUCCCACCCCUACUAACUCAGAUUUUUAAAAUCUUUGUGGAAAAAACAGAAAGAGCUCACUCUGGACCAACGGAUCAGUCUUGCUCCGUCUUCUCUGUCUCCAGGAGGAGAAUGGAGCAGCGCCUAACCAUAUCUAGGGUGGCAGGGUAAAGCAAGAAAAGAUUUCUGCAGUCACAUCUCUCUAAUUUCGUGGUGAGAGAGUUCUGAAGAGAACCUGUGCCUGCAUUUGAGGUGAUACUGAGGGGAAGGAGACAAAGUCAGAAGGAUGUUGAUUCUGAAAAAGCUUUGAAGGUCUCUCAGCACAUCAAAAUACCAGUAUAGGGUAUCAAUUUCUG
ensembl:lncRNA